rnacentral:rRNA from 1 species
GAUGAACGCUGGCGGCGUGCCUAAUACAUGCAAGUCGAGCGAACGGACGAGAAGCUUGCUUCUCUGAUGUUAGCGGCGGACGGGUGAGUAACACGUGGAUAACCUACCUAUAAGACUGGGAUAACUUCGGGAAACCGGAGCUAAUACCGGAUAAUAUUUUGAACCGCAUGGUUCAAAAGUGAAAGACGGUCUUGCUGUCACUUAUAGAUGGAUCCGCGCUGCAUUAGCUAGUUGGUAAGGUAACGGCUUACCAAGGCAACGAUGCAUAGCCGACCUGAGAGGGUGAUCGGCCACACUGGAACUGAGACACGGUCCAGACUCCUACGGGAGGCAGCAGUAGGGAAUCUUCCGCAAUGGGCGCAAGCCUGACGGAGCAACGCCGCGUGAGUGAUGAAGGUCUUCGGAUCGUAAAACUCUGUUAUUAGGGAAGAACAGAUGUGUAAGUAACUGUGCACAUCUUGACGGUACCUAAUCAGAAAGCCACGGCUAACUACGUG